rnacentral:rRNA from 1 species
UUUGAUCAUGANUCAGGAUGAACGCUGGCGGCGUGCUUAACACAUGCAAGUCGAACGAUGAAGCCGGAGCUUGCUCUGGUGGAUUAGUGGCGAACGGGUGAGUAACACGUGAGUAACCUGCCCUUGACUCUGGAAUAAGCGUUGGAAACGACGUCUAAUACCGGAUACGAGCUUCCGCCRCAUGGUGAGGAGCUGGAAAGAAUUUCGGUCAAGGAUGGACUCGCGGCCUAUCAGGUAGUUGGUGAGGUAAUGGCUCACCAAGCCUACGACGGGUAGCCGGCCUGAGAGGGUGACCGGCCACACUGGAACUGAGACACGGUCCAGACUCUACAGGAGGCAGCAGUGGGGAAUAUUGCACAAUGGGCGCAAGCCUGAUGCAGCAACGCCGCGUGAGGGACGACGGCUUCGGGUUGUAAACCUCUUUUAGUAGGGAAGAAGCGAAAGUGACGGUACCUGCAGAAAAAGCACCGGCUAACUACGUGCCAGCAGCCGCGGUAAUACGUAGGGUGCAAGCGUUAUCCGGAAUUAUUGGGCGUAAAGAGCUCGUAGGCGGUUUGUCGCGUCUGCUGUGAAAACUGGGGGCUCAACCCCCAGCCUGCAGUGGGUACGGGCAGACUAGAGUGCGGUAGGGGAGAUUGGAA